CCCUGGGUGGUGCAAAUGGUUAACACACUCAGCUGCUAACUGAAAUGUCAGGGGUUCAAGUCCUCCCAGAGG
rnacentral:tRNA from 1 species